rnacentral:snRNA from 1 species
ACUCGCUUCGGCGAGUAUAUAUACUAAAAUUGGAACGAUACAGAGAAGAUUUGCAUGGCCACUGCGCAAGGAUGACACGCAAAAUCGUGAAGCGUUCCACAUUUUU